CUCUUUUCUCUGCAUAUUAAUUUUCUCCCAAGUUAAAUUCUCUCAUGGCUGCCCAUUACGAUAAUACAAGUCCCUUGAACAAAGCCAAAGUUCAACCCUUGCAUAAUGAAUCAGAAGGUGAGCCGCAGAAGCUGCAGAAUUUUGCAUUCGGGGCAUAUUUGGGACUCGUUGUAUGUCUUUCAUGGAAUCUCGUGGCUGUAACAUGUUUAUGGAUUCUGGGAGGGGCAGAAAAUAUAACCUUGUUGCUCGCCAUCGCCGUCUUGGUGCUUGGAGUUCCAGCAGCCUAUGCAUCAUGGUAUCGUACGCUUAGUCUUGCUUUUAGAGAAGAAGAUAAUGCGUCGAAGUUCCAUGAGUUUUUACUGUUGUACCUUAUCCACCUUGCCUUCUGCGUAUUUGCUUCAAUAAAUACUCCGGGAAAAUAUCUCACUGGCAUCCAGAGUGCAAUGGAUGUUUAUUUAGAUAAUCAUAAUUUGAUGAUUGGGAUCUUCUACUUGAUCGGUUCUGUGCUUUUCUAUCUUGAAUUCUUACUCAGCUUCUGGGUUAUGAUGCGUGUACAAGCUUAUUACCGUCACCGUCAAGGUGGUUUAGCAUCGGUCGAUCAAGAUUUAACUCUUCCAAGCUUGUAAUUAAUUUUUUCUUUUAUUUUAGGAUGAUUGUGAUUCUGUAUACUUCUUUUAUAUAGGAAAUCUUGUUAAAAUAAAUCCACCAUGUGAUUCUGU
rnacentral:misc_RNA from 1 species